UAUCACUAGGAGCUGGUGUUGGAGUCUCUGGUUCUGCUGGUGUUGGAGUAGGAACUUCAGGUUGACUUGGUUGUGCUGGCUCAACCGGAGUUGU
rnacentral:tRNA from 2 species